AUUGAACGCUGGCGGCAGGCCUAACACAUGCAAGUCGAGCGAGUGGCGGACGGGUGAGUCAUGUCUGGGCAACUGCCCGAUGGAGGGGGAUAACUACUGGAAACGGUAGCUAAUACCGCAUACCAUCGGAUGUGCCCAGAUGGGAUUAGCUUGUAGGUGGGGUAACGGCUCACCUAGGCGACGAUCCCUAGCUGGUAUGAGAGGAUGACCAGCCACACUGGAGCUGAGACACGGUCCAGACACCUACGGGAGGCAGCAGUGGGGAAUAUUGCACAAUGGGCGCAAGCCUGAUGCAGUCAUGCCGCGGGUAUGAAGAAGGCCUUCGGGUUGUAAAGUACUUUCAGCGAGGAGGCGUUACUCGCAGAAGAAGCACCGGCUAACUCCGUGCCAGCAGCCGCGGUAAUAC
rnacentral:rRNA from 1 species